ACGGGAGGCAGCAGUAGGGAAUAUUGCACAAUGGGGGGAACCCUGAUGCAGCAACGCCACGUGUGGGAAGACGCAUUUCGGUGUGUAAACCACUGUCGUGAGGGAAUAAGGCUACUUUCCGGAGUAGUUGAAUGUACCUUGAAAGGAAGCACCGGCAAACUUCGUGCCAGCAGCCGCGGUAAUACGAGGGGUGCAAGCGUUGUUCGGAAUCACUGGGCGUACAGGGAGCGCAGGCGAAGAUGCAAGCGGACUGUACAAUACCGGGGCCCAACCCCGGACCUGCAGUCCGGACUGCACCUCUUGGAUAGUUCAGGGGCAGGCGGAAUUCCUGGUGUAGCGGUGGAAUGCGUAGAGAUCAGGAAGAACACCGAUGGCGAAGGCAGCCUGCUGGGGACUCAUCGACGCUGAGGCUCGAAAGUGCGGGUAGCAAACAGGAUUAGAUACCCUGGUA
rnacentral:rRNA from 1 species